rnacentral:rRNA from 1 species
UACGGGGGGGGUAAGCGUUGUUCGGAAUUACUGGGCGUAAAGGGCUCGUAGGCGGCCAACUAAGUCAUACGUGAAAUCCCUCAGCUUAACUGGGGAACUGCGUGUGAUACUGGAUGGCUUGGAUUUGGGAGAGGGAUGCGGAAUUCCAGGUGUAGCGGUGAAAUGCGUAGAUAUCUGGAGGAACACCGGUGGCGAAGGCGGCAUCCUGGACCAAUAUUGACGCUGAGGAGCGAAAGCCUGGGGAGCAAACGGG